CAAGUCGUACGCACCCGCAAGGGUGAGUGGCGGACGGGUUAGUAAUACGAUCGAACGUACCUCGAGGUGGGGGAUAGCGGCGGGAAACUGCCGGUAAUACCCCAUGAUCUCUCCGGAGCAAAGGGUAACCGCCUUGAGAUCGGCGAUCGUCCUAUCAGCUAGUUGGCGGGGUAACGGCCCACCAAGGCGAUGACGGGUAGCAGGUGUGAGAGCACGACCUGCAACAUCGGGACUGAGACACUGCCCGGACUCCUACGGGAGGCUGCAGCGACGAAUCUUCCGCAAUGGGCGCAAGCCUGACGGAGCGACGCCGCGUGUGGGAUGAAGCGCCUCUGGCGUGUAAACCACUGUCAGGAAAUAGAAUCAAUGAUCGUUUCCAGAGGAAGGGGCGACUAACUCUGUGCCAGCAGUCGCGGUAAGACAGAGGCCCCGAGCGUUAAUCGGAAUCACUGGGCUUAAAGGGUGCGUAGGCCGGCCUGCAAGUGCUUUGUGAAAUCCCAUGGCUCAACCAUGGAACAGCGGGGCAUACUGCGGGUCUUGAGGAAGGUAGGGGUUGCCGGAACUGUAGGUGGAGCGGUGAAAUGCGUAGAUAUCUACAGGAACGCCGAUGGUGAAGACGGGCAACUGGGCCUUUCCUGACGCUGAGGCACGAAAGCGUGGGGAGCAAACAGGAUUAGAUACCCUGGUAGUCCACGCCGUAAACGAUGUACGCUAGAUCGGUGCCGCUCUCACGCGGGAUCGGUCGUAGUAAAAACGAUAAGCGUACCGCCUGGGGAGUACGGUCGCAAGGCUAAAACUCAAAGGAAUUGACGGGGGCUCACACAAGCGGUGGA
rnacentral:rRNA from 1 species